AUCUCUCGGAGGCAAGUCCCACGGGAAGAAGAAGAGGAAACAGGGGAGGGAGUGAGCCACGGGAACAUGAGAGAAUAAAAAAAAAAGAGGAGAGAGAAGAGUUUUGUUAUUUUGGGAAUAUUUCAAAGAAAGAAAUCAUGAAGGAAGAGAUGAGAGCCUGCUGCUGUGCUGCUGCUGCCGUCUCCAACUCCAUGCAGGGCUGAUCUCUUCUCCAGGGCUGGAUGCAGCCCUAACAAAGGGCCAAGGGUUUUUAUAUUUUUAAUUUCUAUUCUUGGAGUUGUAUAAACUUUAUUUU
rnacentral:lncRNA from 1 species